rnacentral:rRNA from 1 species
GACAGAGGUGCCAAGCGUUAGGCGGAAUCACUGGGCUUAAAGCGUGUGUAGGCGGAUGUCUAAGUGCCUUGUGAAAUCCCACGGCUCAACCGUGGAACUGCUUGGCAUACUGGAUGUCUUGAGCCAGCUAGGGGCUACCGGAACAAAUGGUGGAGCGGUGAAAUGCGUAGAUAUCAUUUGGAACGCCAAUGGUGAAAACAGGUAGCUGGGGCUGUGCUAACGCUGAGACACGAAAGCCAGGGGAGCGAACGGG